UAUAUACUCCCUCCGUUCGGAAUUACUUGUCAUAAAAAUGGAUGUUCUAGACGUAUUUUAGUUCUGAAUACAUCCAUUUCUGAGACAAGUAAUUCCGAACGGAGGGAGUAUAAC
rfam:Triticum aestivum genome assembly, contig: Triticum_aestivum_CS42_TGACv1_scaffold_064083_1DL